rnacentral:tRNA from 2 species
CCGACCUUAGCUCAGUUGGAAGAGCGCAAGACUGUAAUUGGUGAACCGAGGUCAUCUUGAUGUCGCCUGUUCGAGCCAGGCAGGUCGGA